rnacentral:rRNA from 1 species
GAUGAACGCUAGCGGCAGGCCUAACACAUGCAAGUCAGGGGUAACGAUGUCUUCGGACAGGCGACGACCGGCGCACGGGUGAGUAUCGCGUUUGUAACCUACCUUUAACUGGAGCAUAGCCCGAAGAAAUUCGGAUUAAUACUCCAUAACACUAUGAACUGGCAUCUUUUUUAUAGUUUAAAGCUCCGGCGGUUAAAGAUGGGCAUGCGUGACAUUAGAUAGUUGGUGAGGUAACGGCUCACCAAGUCUACGAUGUCUAGGGGGUCUGAGAGGAUGGUCCCCACACUGGUACUGAGACACGGACCAGACUCCUACGGGAGGCAGCAGUGAGGAAUAUUGGUCAAUGGGCGCAAGCCUGAACCAGCCAUGCCGCGUGAAGGAUGACAGCGCUACGCGUUGUAAACUUCUUUUGUACAGGAAGAAACACUCUUACGUGUAAGAGCUUGACGGUACUGUACGAAUAAGCAUCGGCUAACUCCGUG